GCUAGUGUAGCUUAAUAGGUAGAGCAGCUGAUUUGUAAUCAGUAGGUCGGGAGUUCGAAUCUCUUCACUAGCU
rnacentral:tRNA from 1 species